UACGGAGGGGGCUAGCGUUGUUCGGAAUUACUGGGCGUAAAGCGCGCGUAGGCGGACCUGCAAGUCGGGGGUGAAAGCCCGAGGCUCAACCUCGGAACUGCCUUCGAUACUGCGGGUCUCGAGUCCGGGAGAGGUGAGUGGAAUUCCUGGUGUAGAGGUGAAAUUCGUAGAUAUCAGGAGGAACACCGAUGGCGAAGGCAGCCUCCUGGGCCAGCACUGACGCUCAUGCACGAAAGCGUGGGGAGCAAACAGG
rnacentral:rRNA from 1 species